GAUGAAGAACGCAGCGAAAUGCGAUACGUAAUGUGAAUUGCAGAAUUCAGUGAAUCAUCGAGUCUUUGAACGCACAUUGCGCCUCCUGGUAUUCCGGGAGGCAUGCCUGUUCGAGCGUCAUUAAAAUCACUCAAGCUUAGGUUUACCUAUUGCUUGGUCUUGGAGAUGGAAGCCAAUUUAUUGGAAUCCUCUUCGAAAUUCAAUGGCGAAGACCCUUGCUCUCCCAAGUGUAGUAAUAACUUAUGUCACUGAAGGAAGCGAGAAAUCUUCUGCCGUAACCCCCAUAUUUUCUAUGAUUGACCUCGGAUCAGGUAGGGAUACCCGCUGAACUUAAGCAUAUCAAUAAGCGGAGGA
rnacentral:misc_RNA from 1 species